rnacentral:rRNA from 1 species
ACAUGCAAGUCGAGGGGUAGAAUCUUCGGGACUUUGAGACCGGCGCACGGGUGCGUAACGCGUAUGCAAUCUACCUUUUACAGAGGGAUAGCCCAGAGAAAUUUGGAUUAAUACCUCAUAGUAUUAUAGAAUGGCAUCAUUUUAUAAUUAAAGUCACAACGGUAAAAGAUGAGCAUGCGUCCCAUUAGCUAGUUGGUAAGGUAACGGCUUACCAAGGCUACGAUGGGUAGGGGUCCGAGAGGGAGAUCCCCCACACUGGUACUGAGACACGGACCAGACUCAAACGGGAGGCAGCAGUGAGGAAUAUUGGACAAUGGGCGCAAGCCUGAUCCAGCCAUGCCGCGUGCAGGAUGACGGUCCUAUGGAUUGUAAACUGCUUUUAUACGAGAAGAAACACUCCUUCGUGAAGGAGCUUGACGGUAUCGUAAGAAUAAGGAUCGGCUAACUCCGUGCCAGCAGCCGCGGUAAUACGGAGGAUCCAAGCGUUAUCCGAAUCAUUGGGUUUAAAGGGUCCGUAGGCGGUUUGGUAAGUCAGUGGUGAAAGCCCAUCGCUCAACGGUGGAACGGCCAUUGAUACUGCUAGACUUGAAUUAUUAGGAAGUAACUAGAAUAUGUAGUGUAGCGGUGAAAUGCUUAGAGAUUACAUGGAAUACCAAUUGCGAAGGCAGGUUACUACUAAUUGAUUGACGCUGAUGGACGAAAG